AACAAAAUACAUAUGCCUAGUCGUAGUAGGGAGUAUAUGUCUAUCUAUGUGGACUCGCCAGACAUGUGAAUGCUAGAUAAAACAUCUAUAAAAGCAUGCAUGUGCAAGCUGUGUGGUGUGAGUUAGCUUCCAUGGUGAAAUAUAGCAUGUAUGCGGUAGAGGGAUGUGUUGCAUGAUAGUGUUGUAGUUUGUUUCGGAUUAACAAUCCGAUAUGAGUGAGUAGCGUGAUGUGAGAGGUGCUAUAUCUCUGUGUGUGGUAUGUAGUCGCAUGAAGGUAUGUUUGCUGGGAAAGCACUAUUUUGGGGCUAAUGAUGAGACUCGUUGCUGCUCUGAGGUUAAGUGGGAAAGCAGGGUACAAGUCCACAGCGAAAAAGGGCAGUGGCACUGCUUGGUGGGUACAGUUCUGCAUGGCCUCCGUCUUCCCCAGCAGCCAUCACCUGCCAGUCUGCGGGUCCGCGUUCCACUCAGCCGAUUCCUUGGGAUGGCAGGUUCUCUAAGCAGGCUUGGGAGAUGCUGGGGUUGUCGGUGGGGAAUGCCACAGGGAGACAGAUUUUGCGUUGUGGAGGUGAGGUGGGGCGCAGGUAGUCCAUACAGCCUGGUAGACUCAGGUGGGUGGUAGUGUGUUGGAGCUCCGGUGUGGUGCUGUGGGCCAACGCGUGUGGUUGGGGUCGGAUGAUUUUACCCUGCGUCCCCGUGUGGGGCCCUGCUGCUUUCCACCCCAGGUGUUAUGGCCUUGGUAACGAGGGCAGUGAUAGGUAAGGUCCCUGGCUAAGUCCAUGAAUCGGGACAAGUCCCUUAGGGGAGUGGUGCUUGUGAGUAGUGCUGUAAUGCAUGACUCCUCGGCCCGGGUGAGUUGGGAACCUGGAGUCGGUCUUUGCCCGAUCGUUGUACCAUGCAGCGGCGGUAUCCUUCUCAUAUUUUCCUCUUUCUCCUUGCAUAAUAAUUCUGUCCAUAUCCCUUCGCCCUUUACUUGUGUCCCUCUGCCCUCUGGAUUUCCUCUCC